GAGCUCAGCUUGCCCUUACUUAGCGGCGGACGGCUGUUUAAUGCUUAGGAAUCUGCCUAUUAGUGGGGGACAACAUUCCGAAAGGGAUGCUAAUACCGCAUACGCCCUACGGGGGAAAGCAGGGGAUCUUCGGACCUUGCGCUAUAGAUGAGCCCCCCUCGGAUUAGCUACUGGUGGGGUAAAGGCCUUCCAAGGCGACCAUCUGUACCG
rnacentral:rRNA from 1 species